AUUGAACGCUGGCGGCAGGCCUAACACAUGCAAGUCGAACGAAGUGGCGAACGGGUGAGUAAUACGUGGGUAACCUGCCCUCCUUUUUGGGAUAAGCCUUGGAAACGGGGUCUAAUACCGAAUAAAGGGGGAUGGGCUCGCGGCCUAUCAGCUUGUUGGUGGGGUGAUGGCCUACCAAGGCGGUGUCGGGUAGCCGGCCUGGGAGGGUGACCGGACACAUGGGGAGGGAGAUACGGCCCAGGCUCGUACGAGAGGGAGCAGUGGGGGAUAUUGCAAAAUGGGGGAAAGCCUGAUGCAGCGAUGCCGCGUGGGGGAUGAAGGCUUACGGGUUGUAAACCUCUUUCGCUAUAGAACGGGUAGGUGGAGAAGAAGCGCCGGCUAACUACGUGCCAGCAGCCGCGGUAAUAC
rnacentral:rRNA from 1 species